AUUGAACGCUGGCGGCAUGCCUUACACAUGCAAGUCGAACGGCAGCACGGGUGCUUGCACCUGGUGGCGAGUGGCGAACGGGUGAGUAAUACAUCGGAACAUGUCCUGUAGUGGGGGAUAGCCCGGCGAAAGCCGGAUUAAUACCGCAUACGAUCUACGGAUGAAAGCGGGGGACCUUCGGGCCUCGCGCUAUAGGGUUGGCCGAUGGCUGAUUAGCUAGUUGGUGGGGUAAAGGCCUACCAAGGCGACGAUCAGUAGCUGGUCUGAGAGGACGACCAGCCACACUGGGACUGAGACACGGCCCAGACUCCUACGGGAGGCAGCAGUGGGGAAUUUUGGACAGCGGGCGAAAGCCUGAUCCAGCAAUGCCGCGUGUGUGAAGAAGGCCUUCGGGUUGUAAAGCACUUUUGUCCGGAAAGAAAUCCUUGGCCCUAAUACGGUCGGGGGAUGACGGUACCGGAAGAAUAAGCACCGGCUAACUACGU
rnacentral:rRNA from 1 species